ACAACACGACUGGGCGGGAGCGCUAAAACAAUAGAAUUCCGCGAUGGAGCACUGUGCCCGGGCGGCUUCGGGGCAGUUCAGCACCACGGCCAACUAGUCUGCAACAAACUUGUCUAACGACUGACACGGAGCAAGAACCACGGAGCUGAAGUGCGUGCCUUAGAGCGCGGCCUACUGCGACGCGGUAAGGGGUCGUGUUACCCCGUGGGGGGGAGGGCAGACGGACCCCGCGAAACGUCACAAUCGCGAGCUAUCUCGCGAAGGAAAAGGUGUUUGUGUGUGCCUUCCCGGUGUUGUUGCCGCGGUGAUGUGUACACCACACGCGCUUUUUUGUGUUAGGCCGUGUGUGUGUGUGAUAGUGUGAUGAUAGGCUUACUUGGAUCAUGUGGUUCUGCGCGGCUUUUGCGCUCGGGAACGCGUUCGAUUUUCGAGGCUUUUUUUUUUGCUUCGCUCAUUUCAAACACUCCGUCAACAAUCGCGUUAGAACUGAUUUCUGACUCCAACACAUCGACAAUUCCUACCAUGUGCUUGGUAGGCUUUCAAAAAAAAACGAGCGAAAGAUUAAACGCUCGUGUACGGGUACGCAAGCCAGAGAGAAGAGAUUUAAAAGCCAACCAAAAAACCCUUUCCGUCUCCUAAGCUGAAGCCGUUUAGCCGAGGCGCAAAAAAAUAAAACAUACGCAUUAGUCCUGCGCCCGAAGACGGCCAAACCGGUCAACGUGUUCGUUAUCUGCUCUCAUCGCAUGCGGUGUGGUUGUUUUUUUUUUGCAUUUCUUAUGUUUCCCUUUUCCUUCUCUUUCGUGGUCCUUCUUGUACCAUCUCCCUCACACACUCUCCCGAAUGGUAUGUUUCGGGGGAAGGUUUCGGGCCGAUCGUUCUACACCCGCCGUUGGUUUGAUUGCGUUCCGCGUCGCGUUAACCUUAUUCAAAUUUCGUCACCCAAAGCGAACGUUCGAAGGAGGGAGGUGAAAGAACAACAACGACAACAGCAACAACAAACACAAACUCACAUGAGACGUGCCCUUUCUUUGACUCACUACACUGCGCGCUUCUGUGCAGGCGCACGCACUUGCUCGCGCAAGUCAUGCGUAGCGGUGUAAAUUGAUGAAAUUGAGAAAAUAGCCCAAAACGAUCAACCUCCCGUUCGAUGGUUGCUGCUAGUUGUAUUAGUGGUGUUUUGAAAUAUUGCUGUAGGAUUUCCUUUCAUUUAGUUUGAAUAAUAAAAUACGAAACAAAGGUAUGGAAUUUAAUCAGCAAAUUACAAGAAAAGUAAAAACCUUAAAGGAACACACAGAAGACAAAAAAUUGUUGUAUAGUAGGAAGGCAACCAAAACAAUUUCGAAUAUACGAAUUUUGAGGAAUUUUUGUUACAAAAUGGAAAUGCUUAGUAAACAAAAUCUGAUACUUAAACAUACUAACGAAGCAAUAAUAGAAAACAAUUCAUAUUGAAGUAACAUAAUAGAUAAAUUUAAGAAUAUCUUCUUGAUGA